rnacentral:rRNA from 1 species
CAGCAGCCGCGGUAAUACAGAGGGUGCGAGCGUUAAUCGGAUUUACUGGGCGUAAAGCGUGCGUAGGCGGCUUCUUAAGUCGGAUGUGAAAUCCCUGAGCUUAACUUAGGAAUUGCAUUCGAUACUGGGAAGCUAGAGUAUGGGAGAGGAUGGUAGAAUUCCAGGUGUAGCGGUGAAAUGCGUAGAGAUCUAGAGGAAUACCGAUGGCGAAGGCAGCCAUCUGGCCUAAUACUGACGCUGAGGUACGAAAGCAUGGGGAGCAAACAGGAUUAGAUACCCGAGUAGUCCCUGUCUCUUAUAC